rnacentral:rRNA from 1 species
UGUGUAGGCGGUUUUCUAAGUUUGGUGUGAAAUCUCCCGGCUCAACCGGGAGGGUGCGCCGAAAACUGGGAGACUAGAGUGCGGGAUGGGAGAGUAGAAUUCCUGGUGUAGCGGUGAAAUGCGUAGAUAUCAGGAGGAAUACCGGUGGUGUAGACGGCUCUCUGGACCGCAACUGACGCUGAGACACGAAAGCGUGGGUAGCAAACA